GCCACUGGCCUACGACUACCCCGGUGACUGUUGGUAGAGCAUGAGACUCUCGAUCCCAAGGUCAUGGGUUCGAAACCCAGGUUGGGCA